GUAAAAUAAACAUAGAUGAGCAGCAAGUUGGCAUGGUACCCAAAGUGCCAACCAUUCCAGUAUUGAAGUCCAAAAAGGUCUUCUUGGAAUCACAGGUCCGGGCCCGACAGAACCAAAGGAGCAACAAAGAGAAACCCGGAUUCCUCAUUUCAUUUCAUCAGUGAUGAAAGUAAAAUAAACAUAGAUGAGCAGCAAGUUGGCAUGGUAGCCAAAGUGCCAACCAUUCCAGUUUUGAAGUCCAAAAAGGUCUUCUUGGAAUCACAGGUCCGGGCCCGACAGAACCAAAGGAGCAACAAAGAGAAACCCGGAUUCCUCAUUUCAUUUCAUCAGUGAUGAAAGUAAAAUAAACAUAGAUGAGCAGCAAGUUGGCAUAGUAGCCAAAGUGCCAACCAUUCCAGUAUUGAAGUCCAAAAAGGUCUUCUUGGAAUCACAGGUCCGGGCCCGACAGAACCAAAGGAACAACAAAGAGAAACCCGGAUUCCUCAUUUCAUUUCAUCAGUGAUGAAAGUAAAAUAAACAUAGAUGAGCAGCAAGUUGGCAUAGUAGCCAAAGUGCCAACCAUUCCAGUAUUGAAGUCCAAAAAGGUCUUCUUGGAAUCACAGGUCCGGGCCCGACAGAACCAAAGGAGCAACAAAGAGAAACCCGGAUUCCUCAUUUCAUUUCAUCAGUGAUGAAAGUAAAAUAAACAUAGAUGAGCAGCAAGUUGGCAUAGUAGCCAAAGUGCCAACCAUUCCAGUAUUGAAGUCCAAAAAGGUCUUCUUGGAAUCACAGGUCCGGGCCCGACAGAACCAAAGGAACAACAAAGAGAAACCCGGAUUCCUCAUUUCAUUUCAUCAGUGAUGAAAGUAAAAUAAACAUAGAUGAGCAGCAAGUUGGCAUAGUAGCCAAAGUGCCAACCAUUCCAGUAUUGAAGUCCAAAAAGGUCUUCUUGGAAUCACAGGUCCGGGCCCGACAGAACCAAAGGAGCAACAAAGAGAAACCCGGAUUCCUCAUUUCAUUUCAUCAGUGAUGAAAGUAAAAUAAACAUAGAUGAGCAGCAAGUUGGCAUGGUACCCAAAGUGCCAACCAUUCCAGUAUUGAAGUCCAAAAAGGUCUUCUUGGAAUCACAGGUCCUGGCCCGACAGAACCAAAGGAGCAACAAAGAGAAACCCGGAUUCCUCAUUUCAUUUCAUCAGUGAUGAAAGUAAAAUAAACAUAGAUGAGCAGCAAGUUGGCAUGGUAGCCAAAGUGCCAACCAUUCCAGUUUUGAAGUCCAAAAAGGUCUUCUUGGAAUCACAGGUCCUGGCCCGACAGAACCAAAGGAGCAACAAAGAGAAACCCGGAUUCCUCAUUUCAUUUCAUCAGUGAUGAAAGUAAAAUAAACAUAGAUGAGCAGCAAGUUGGCAUGGUAGCCAAAGUGCCAACCAUUCCAGUAUUGAAGUCCAAAAAGGUCUUCUUGGAAUCACAGGUCCGGGCCCGACAGAACCAAAGGAGCAACAAAGAGAAACCCGGAUUCCUCAUUUCAUUUCAUCAGUGAUGAAAGUAA